UACGUAGGGUGCAAGCGUUAAUCGGAAUUACUGGGCGUAAAGCGUGCGCAGGCGGUUAUGUAAGACAGGUGUGAAAUCCCCGGGCUUAACCUGGGAACUGCAUUUGUGACUGCAUUGCUGGAGUGCGGCAGAGGGGGAUGGAAUUCCGCGUGUAGCAGUGAAAUGCGUAGAUAUGCGGAGGAACACCGAUGGCGAAGGCAAUCCCCUGGGCCUGCACUGACGCUCAUGCACGAAAGCGUGGGGAGCAAACAGG
rnacentral:rRNA from 1 species